rnacentral:rRNA from 1 species
UCGAUUGUCCCAGCCGCCGCGGUAAUACGUAGGGUGCAAGCGUUAUCCGGAAUUAUUGGGCGUAAAGGGCUCGUAGGCGGUUCGUCGCGUCCGGUGUGAAAGUCCAUCGCUUAACGGUGGAUCCGCGCCGGGUACGGGCGGGCUUGAGUGCGGUAGGGGAGACUGGAAUUCCCGGUGUAACGGUGGAAUGUGUAGAUAUCGGGAAGAACACCAAUGGCGAAGGCAGGUCUCUGGGCCGUUACUGACGCUGAGGAGCGAAAGCGUGGGGAGCGAACAGGAUUAGAUACCCUGGUAGUCCACGCCGUAAACGGUGGAUGCUGGAUGUGGGGCCCGUUCCACGGGUUCCGUGUCGGAGCUAACGCGUUAAGCAUCCCGCCUGGGGAGUACGGCCGCAAGGCUAAAACUCAAAGAAAUUGACGGGGGCCCGCACAAGCGGCGGAGCAUGCGGAUUAAUUCGAUGCAACGCGAAGAACCUUACCUGGGCUUGACAUGUUCCCGACGAUCCCAGAGAUGGGGUUUCCCUUCGGGGCGGGUUCACAGGUGGUGCAUGGUCGUCGUCAGCUCGUGUCGUGAGAUGUUGGGUUAAGUCCCGCAACGAGCGCAACCCUCGCCCCGUGUUGCCAGCGGAUUGUGCCGGGAACUCACGGGGGACCGCCGGGGUUAACUCGGAGGAAGGUGGGGAUGACGUCAGAUCAUCAUGCCCCUUACGUCCAGGGCUUCACGCAUGCUACAAUGGCCGGUACAACGGGAUGCGACGCGGCGACGCGGAGCGGAUCCCUGAAAACCGGUCUCAGUUCGGAUCGCAGUCUGCAACUCGACUGCGUGAAGGCGGAGUCGCUAGUAAUCGCGAAUCAGCAACGUCGCGGUGAAUGCGUUCCCGGGCCUUGUACACACCGCCCGUCAAGUCAUGAAAGUGGGCAGCACCCGAAGCCGGUGGCCUAACCCCUUGUGGGAUGGAGCCGUCUAAGGUGAGGCUCGUGAUUGGGACU